rnacentral:rRNA from 1 species
AUUGAACGCUGGCAGCACGCCUAACACAUGCAAGUCGAACGAGUGGCGGACGGGUGAGUCAUGUCUGGGAAACUGCCUGAUGGAGGGGGAUAACUACUGGAAACGGUCGCUAAUACCGCAUACUAUCGGAUGUGCCCAGAUGGGAUUAGCUCUUAGGUGGGGUAAAGGCUCACCUAGGCGACGAUCCCUAGCUGGUCUGAGAGGAUGACCAGCCACACUGGAACUGAGACACGGGCCAGAAUCCUAAGGGAGGCAGCAGGGGGGAAUAUUGCACAAUGGGCGCAAGCCUGAUGCAGCCAUGCCGCGUGUAGGAAGAAGGCCUUCGGGUUGUAAAGUACUUUCAGCGGGGAGGCGUUACCCGCAGAAGAAGCACCGGCUAACGCCGUGCCAGCAGCCGCGGUAAUUC